CCUACGGGGGGCUGCAGUGGGGAAUAUUGCGCAAUGGGGGCAACCCUGACGCAGCAAUACCGCGUGAGUGAAGAAGGUUUUCGGAUCGUAAAGCUCUGUUAUUGGGGAAGAAAAAAGACGGUACCCAAGAAGAAAGUCCCGGCUAACUACGUGCCAGCAGCCGCGGUAAUACGUAGGGGACAAGCGUUGUCCGGAUUUACUGGGCGUAAAGGGCACGCAGGCGGUUUUUUAAGUCAGAUGUGAAAGGUACCGGCUCAACCGGUGACAUGCAUUUGAAACUGAAAGACUUGAGUAUUGGAGAGGCAAGUGGAAUUCCUAGUGUAGCGGUGAAAUGCGUAGAUAUUAGGAGGAACACCGGUGGCGAAGGCGGCUUGCUGGACAAAUACUGACGCUGAGGUGCGAAAGCGUGGGGAGCAAACAGGAUUAGAUACCCGAGUAGUCC
rnacentral:rRNA from 1 species